rnacentral:rRNA from 1 species
GAUUAACGCUGGCGGCGUGCCUAACACAUGCAAGUCGAGCGGCAGCGAGUUUUACACUGAAUUCUGGAAGCUUCUAGUUGAAAGAGAAGAUUUAUUCAAGAAUUUUGUGUAAAAUGUCGGCGAGCGGCGGACGGCUGAGUAGCGCGUGGGAACGUACCCCAAAGUGAGGGAUAACGCAUCGAAAGGUGUGCUAAUACCGCAUAUGGUCUUCGGAUUAAAGCCUUCGGGCGCUUUGGGAACGGCCUGCGUAAGAUUAGAUAGUUGGUGGGGUAAUGGCCUACCAAGUCGACGAUCUUUAACUGGUUUGAGAGGAUGAUCAGUCAGACUGGAACUGAGACACGGUCCAGACUCCUACGGGAGGCAGCAGUGAGGAAUCUUCCACAAUGGGCGAAAGCCUGAUGGAGCAACGCCGCGUGCAGGAUGAAGGCCUUCGGGUUGUAAACUGCUUUUAUAAGUGAGGAUUAUGACAGUAACUUAUGAAUAAGGAGCGGCUAACUACGUG